rnacentral:rRNA from 1 species
AUUGAACGCUGGCGGCAUGCUUUACACAUGCAAGUCGAACGGCAGCGCGGGCUUCGGCCUGGCGGCGAGUGGCGAACGGGUGAGUAAUACAUCGGAACGUGCCCAGUAGUGGGGGAUAGCUCGGCGAAAGCCGGAUUAAUACCGCAUACGACCUGCGGGUGAAAGCGGGGGAUCUUCGGACCUCGCGCUCUUGGAGCGGCCGAUGGCAGAUUAGGUCGUUGGUGGGGUAAAGGCCUACCAAGGCGACGAGCUGUAGCUGGUCUGAGAGGACGACCAGCCACACUGGGACUGAGACACGGCCCAGACUCCUACGGGAGGCAGCAGUGGGGAAUUUUGGACAAUGGGCGAAAGCCUGAUCCAGCAAUGCCGCGUGUGUGAUGAAGGCCUUCGGGUUGUAAAGCACUUUUGGCGGGAACGAAAAGGACUGUGCCAAUACCACGUUUCGAUGACGGUACCCGCAGAAUAAGCACCGGCUAACUACGUG